AACAAGAGCAAAACUCCAUCUCAAAAAAAAAAAAAAAAAAGGAAGGAAGAAAAAAUAAUUUGCAGAUAUUGAGAGAGAGGGAGGUAAAUUACUGCUUUGUGGAGAUGAAUAAAUGGCAUCGCCUUUCACUAAGACAGGAAUACUGGAAGAGAGCCUGGUUCCAGGUGCUGGGAAGGGGCAGACUUAAUGUUUUAGACAUGUUGGUAUUGAAGUGCCUCUGAUACAGCCAACAGGAGAUAUCAGAGAGGCAGUUAGAUAUAUAGGUCUCUAGCUCAGAGGGGAGAAAAUCAGGGCUAGUGAAAAAAUAUUGGAAAUUGUUAUGUUGAAACCAUGCACCCAGGCGAGAGUGCCUAAGCAGAGACUAUAGAAUGAGAAGAAAAGAGGGUCCAUGAUUGAGCCUUAGGAACCCAACACUUAGUGGCCAGUUAGAAGAGGAUGAGCCUGUGAAGGACACAGAAAAGGAGUAACCAGAGAAGUAGGAAAGGAAAUUAGGAGUGUGGGGAGAAGGCAUUACACAGAACCAGCCAGGUUGGUAAGGACAGACCAAGGGUAAGAGACAGAAACCUGUUAUUUUCAUUCACAGAUGUUUGAGUGCUUGCUGUGUGCUGGUACAGACAAGACUUUCUGGAAGGGAAACAGAGACAGAAGUCAAGCCAUUUCCACAGAGCAUCUUGCCUGCAGUUCCAUUUCAGAAAACCUAGUGCUACAGCCCCUGAACUAGACUGGAGAAACCAGCCAGCAAGGAAAGUAACCUGCAUUGUUGAGGGAUGGUACUACUCUAUUCCUGGUGUCUGGGAAUUGCUGGGUCGUGGGAGAGAGGUAAGGGGUGGUAGAUAAGGGAAUGGAGGGCUCUUGUGUCUCUGGUUUUCUAAACAACAGGAUAAAUUUGUUCCCUUCAGAACAGGAAAAGGGUUCAGGAUAAGAGUCUUACGUUUAAGUUUUGAAGCUACAAGAAAUAUUUGUGUGGGUAUAGUUAAAGCUUUUUUUAAACCUUCUGAAAAUUGGCUCUUCUGGUUUGGUGAGCUUAGGAAGGAAAAAAGAUGCAAACUUUUGGCCUCAUUUUUGUCUUCUCUGAUCAUGGAAAGCAACACAGCCAGUCAGAAAAAGCUCUUGGGCUAGGAGGAAGGAGGACCUGAUUUCUCGGACUCAAAAUCCCUUAUGGCAGAAAAACAUUGCUCAGUGACUUACAAAGUGUGUCAUUUGUAAGACUGCACACCUCUGUCAUUCACUAACAUUAGGAUGAUAAACCAUUUCAUCUUACAAGCUGAUGUGGUGAAAGUACCUGUUAAUUGGUUUUAUAGUCUCUUAUCUGUAAAACAUAAAUAAUUGUUUUUGGGUGUUUUGGGUUUUUUUUUUUUUUAAGAUUUAAGUUCCUUGAGUCUCCGUCUCCUCCUCUGUUAAGUAAAGCAAAUGCUUACCUCUCAGGAUUGUUGAAAGGAUUAAGUGAAGUAACAAAUGUAAAAAUACCUUGUGGAAUGAUUGCCACUUAGCAGCCACUCAAAAAAUAUUUGCCAAACCUCUGUUGUAGAGAUGUUGAAAAUCAAAUGAGGUUAAUUACUGUGAAUGUGUAACAAAAAGUAAAGCACCACAUAAAUGCAAGAUAAUAUCAUUACUCAGACCAACCUGAGCAACAUAGUGAGACCCUGUCUCAAUUUAAAAAAAAAAAAAAAAAAG
rnacentral:lncRNA from 1 species